GACGAACGCUGGCGGCGUGCUUAACACAUGCAAGUCGAACGGAAAGGCCCUGCUUUUGUGGGGUGCUCGAGUGGCGAACGGGUGAGUAACACGUGAGUAACCUGCCCUUGUCUUUGGGAUAACUUCAGGAAACUGGGGCUAAUACCGGAUAGGAGCUCCUGCUGCAUGGUGGGGGUUGGAAAGUUUCGGCGGUUGGGGAUGGACUCGCGGCUUAUCAGCUUGUUGGUGGGGUAGUGGCUUACCCAGGCUUUGACGGGUAGCCGGCCUGAGAGGGUGACCGGCCACAUUGGGACUGAGAUACGGCCCAGACUCCUACGGGAGGCAGUAGUGGGGAAUAUUGCACAAUGGGCGGAAGCCUGAUGCAGCAACGCCGCGUGCGGGAUGACGGCCUUCGGGUUGUAAACCGCUUUCGCCUGUGACGAAGCGUGAGUGACGGUAAUGGGUAAAGAAGCACCGGCUAACUACGUG
rnacentral:rRNA from 1 species